CUCGUGAACUCAUCUUCGGGGGUAGAGCACUGUUUCGGCUAGGGGGCCAUCCCGGCUUACCAAACCGAUGCAAACUCCGAAUACCGAAGAAUGUUAUCACGGGAGACACACGGCGGGUGCUAACGUCCGUCGUGAAGAGGGAAACAACCCAGACCGCCAGCUAAGGUCCCAAAGUCAUGGUUAAGUGGGAAACGAUGUGGGAAGGCAUAGACAGCCAGGAUGUUGGCUUAGAAGCAGCCAUCAUUUAAAGAAAGCGUAAUAGCUCACUGGUCGAGUCGGCCUGCGCGGAAGAUGUAACGGGGCUAAACCAUGCACCGAAGCUGCGGCAGCGACGCUUAGGCGUUGUUGGGUAGGGGAGCGUUCUGUAAGCCGUUGAAGGUGAACUGUGAGGUUUGCUGGAGGUAUCAGAAGUGCGAAUGCUGACAUAAGUAACGAUAAAGCGGGUGAAAAACCCGCUCGCCGGAAGACCAAGGGUUCCUGUCCAACGUUAAUCGGGGCAGGGUGAGUCGACCCCUAAGGCGAGGCCGAAAGGCGUAGUCGAUGGGAAACAGGUUAAUAUUCCUGUACUCG
rnacentral:rRNA from 1 species